AACGAACGCUGGCGGCGUGCUUAAUACAUGCAAGUCGUACGAGAAUUCCCGGCUUCGGUUGGGAUAGUAAAGUGGCGAACGGGUGAGUAACACGUGGAUAACCUGCCUGCACAUCUGGGAUAAUCCUUCGAAAGGGGGCCUAAUACCGGAUAAUAUUCCGAGACGGCAUCGCCUUGGAAUCAAAGACGGCGCAAGCUGUCGUGAGCAGAUGGAUCCGCGUCCCAUUAGCUUGUUGGCGGGGUAACGGCCCACCAAGGCUCCGAUGGGUAGCCGGCCUGAGAGGGUGAUCGGCCACACUGGGACUGAGAUACGGCCCAGACUCCUACGGGAGGCAGCAGUAGGGAAUAUUGCGCAAUGGACGAAAGUCUGACGCAGCAACGCCGCGUGGGUGAUGAAGCAUUUCGGUGUGUAAAACCCUGUCAGUGGGGAAGAAAAGUAUCAGGAGUAACUGCCUGGUACCUGACGGUACCCGCAGAGGAAGUCCCGGCUAACUCCGUGCCAGCCGCCGCAGUAAUAC
rnacentral:rRNA from 1 species